AUGGGGAGAGGGGCCUGGAGCGGAGGGGGUACAACUGAGGCUGCCAAGAACUCUGCAGCAGAAACCAUCCUCCUGAGUUUCACUGCAAAAGCAGCAACUUUCAGAACAAAUGGAGGGAGCCCUCUACUGGCAAGUCGUCACUCUGCGAGGAAAGGGCCUGAUGCUGGAGCUUCGGUGUCAGCCAGUCCUUGGGGGCUGUUUCCUCCUUUUUCAGGCAGCAAACAUGGAAUGAAGAAUUUCAUGCAAUUUGAUUUUUGACAAGAAAGAGGUAGUACCUUCCAUCUAUCUCGGAGAGCACGCACCCUCUUAGGACAAGCAUACACGUGUUUCCUCACCAGCCCUGGAGGACACAGAACCACUACGAGACCAACAUUUUGUGCUGCCAACAAGCCAUUCAGUGUCCCUGGAGCACUGACCUGCAAAUGUUCCAGAUGCAAAACCACUUCAGAAGGAGAACGAGGUACAGCAUUUUACAUGUACUCUUUCAAUUCUUUGUUGGGUUUGCUCCCACUUCAGAACAUAACAGUUCUUAAACAUUUUCCUGUCG
rnacentral:lncRNA from 1 species